rnacentral:rRNA from 1 species
UUCCAGACUCCUACGGGAGGCAGCAGUGGGGGAUAUUGCACAAUGGGGGAAACCCUGAUGCAGCGACGCCGCGUGGGCGAAGAAGUAUUUCGGUAUGUAAAGCCCUAUCAGCAGGGAAGAAGAAAUGACGGUACCUGAGUAAGAAGCACCGGCUAAAUACGUGCCAGCAGCCGCGGUAAUACGUAUGGUGCAAGCGUUAUCCGGAAUUAUUGGGUGUAAAGGGUGCGUAGACGGGACAGCAAGUUAGUUGUGAAAGCCCUCGGCUUAACUGAGGAACUGCAACUAAAACUAUUGUUCUUGAGUGCAGGAGAGGAAAGCGGAAUUCCUAGUGUAGCGGUGAAAUGCGUAGAUAUUGGGAGGAACACCAGUGGCGAAGGCGGCUUUCUGGACUGUAACUGACGUUGAGGCACGAAAGUGUGGGGAGCAAACAGGAUUAGAUACCCCUGUAC